rnacentral:lncRNA from 10 species
CAGAUAUGGAGCCACUUGACCCUCCUAUAACGCGUGCAGUGGGUCCUAUUACCCCCCCAUUUACGGACCAAGGGCAGGGAGGUGGAGACACUGGCUGGAGGCCGCGCAGCAGGGAAGUGGCAGUCAGGAGGCAGCCCAGGCCCUCCCAUCCGACUUCAGAGGCCAGACGCACGCCUUCUAGACGCUGACUCACAAGCCAAGUCACUCCUUCCUGACACUCACGCCACCAUGUCCUCCCCAAAGUGCAUUUGCAUUUUAACAGCCAUCUUCCGUGAGCUGACUCUGUGGUUUUCAGUCAGUGGUUUCCAGUCGGCUAUUUGUCAUAAGUUCUGGAGGUUGGGAAGUCCAAAGUCGAGUGGCCGUAUCCGGUGAGAGCCCUCCUGCAGCAUCAUCCCAUGACGGAAGGUGUCCCAUGGUGAGAGAGCACGUAUACCAGCUCAGGUCUCCCUUCCUUUUCUCAUAAGGCCACAUCCCCCAUCGGGUCCCAUCCUGAUGUCCUCAUCUAAUCCUAGUUACCUCCCAAAGGCCCCACCUCCAAUCAACAUGUGACUAUGGGGAGUAAGUUUCCAGCCUAUGAAACUGGGGGACACAUUCAAACCACAGCACCAAGCAAGCUGGAGCAGCCAAGAGGAAGCCACAUGUUCCUGCAGGGCAGGGCAGCCUCCACCAUGCAGGGCUGGGACAGGCCAGGGCAGUGAGGGCUCAUGGGGGCCGCACCCACGCCAGCUCCUGCAGCACCAGCCUCUGGCCAGCUGUGUGCCUGGAGCAGAGGGGAGCAGGACCCACGUCCCAGUCCCCCACAUCCCAGAUCUCACCGAAGAGAUCAACUAGCCUAGGGCCAGGCCAGUAGGAGAGGACCUUGUCCAUUUUCUCCAUGAAAAGUCAACAUUUAUCUCUCCAAGUACAAGUCACUUCCUAAUCUUGAGAUGUGUGGAAACAAGCUCUUUAUGCUGAAAAUCAACUUCUACAUUUUAGUUCUGAGAUGUGAUUCUGCCAGCCAUGGUGGACGAGGAGGAUGGUAGGGACUUAGCUAGAGUAGCACGUCCUCACUAGACAGGGGUGGGUGGUGUGGGGAGGUGGGGGGCUUGGCCUUAGCCUGAGUGUGACGUUCAGCCUGCAUCUUGAGCACAGUGAGAGCCUGAGCCACUGCACCACUGAAGAUGCUUAGAAGAGAGACCACAGCAGGCGAGGAGGCUUCCCAGGGGUCAGGUGCUCAGAACACAAAAGAAAGUGAGACAAAGUCGCCACCCUGGAGUUUACGAGCUGGCGUGGGAGACAGGCUGGCACUGAGGAUGACAGUGGAGAGAGAUCGGGCUGGGAAGAACCGGAGGCGCUGGGGAAGCCGGGUCAGCAGGGAGACCCCAGCAGAGUGGGAGCCGGAGGACGGCGGCGACUGCAGCCCGACUGUUUCAGGUGGCGUCCUCGUCACGAGAGGAGCUUGAGCGGGUCGUGGCCUUCCUGGCAACCUGCCUACAGAGAAAACGAUUGCUGGGUGCAGAUGUCUCGAACAUUUAUUGCAUUCCACGUUGUCAGUCAAUAAAACAGCUUUGCGAGCGUAAUACUGACAAAAUCAAGUUCAGGCGGUAAGCCCCAGGGCUUCCAAGAAAAGUGGAUCGGGGGGCUUGCUCAGCUCUGGUAUCCAGGGGGGGCCACUGCCUGGUUCCCAGGCAAAGGAGUACAAACUGCCGGGAGAAACAAGGACCCUGCAGGAAGAAGGGACCUGCCCGACUUGUUCCCCCGCACCCACAUCAGGAAUUUUCCCAGAAAGCCAUCCACUUUGUUAGAGACAAAAUAAAGGUCAUUUGGAGAAAAACCUGCCAGCAGCUGCUGCUGCUUGAAAAUAGAAAAGAUUUUAAAAGUAGCAGUGUUGGGAGGCCAAGGCAGGCAGAUCACCUGAGGUCAGGAGUUCGAGACCAGCCUGGCCAACAUGGCGAAACCCCGUCUCUACUAAAAAUAGAAAAAUUAGCUGGGCAUGGUGGUGAGCACCUGUAAUCCCAGCUACUCGGGAGGCUGAGGCAGGAGAAUCACUUAAACCUGGGAGGCGAAGAUUGCAAUGAGCUGAGAUUGUGCCACUGCACUCCAGCCUGGGCAACAGAGCAGGACAUCGUCUCAAAAAAAAAAAAAAAAUGCAGCAGUGGUUUGAAAUCAUGCAUUUUUAUGUGUUAUCCUCAAACAUCUGAGGGAGAUAAGAAAGAAUAUACCACGGAUGAGAAUAUUUAUAAUUAUCAGAAAAAAAACUGCCUCCUAGGAACAAUCCUGUGAGCUCCAUCAUCAAAUCUGAUUCAGAAGCCUCCAAAUCCCCUACUUGCCCUGGCAGCUGCUACCCACCUCACAGCUGUCCUUUGCAGAUUACUACAAAUGUUCUCUUAAAUAUUCAUUUAUCCCCCAGCAUUGACAGGUGAGGAAUGAUGUUGCUUGGGCUAUUUCUGCCCCAGGUGGCCCCUGUAAAGCCGGGACCUUGGAUCCCCUCUCUCAUAUGAGCCUCCUAAGCGGGCUCCCAGCUCCUGGAUGGGGUCUUCUCAGGGCCUAGGGCCCCCUCAUCUGCCCAGAACAAACUUCCUCAUCCAGAUGUCACCAUUCACUUCCCCAGGUCCUCCUUCCCACCAGACAUGAGGAUUUUAACUUGAUCAUCUCUGCAAAGACCUUAUCUUCAAAUACAGUUACAUUCUGAAGUCCUGGGGGUUAGGGCUGCAACACCCGAAUUGGUGGAGACAAAAUCCAGCUCCUGACAAUACCGCGUAUGAUAGCUGCGUCUCUGCCUGCAGUACUGUUUUCCAGGGAAAGCAUCUUUGAGUGUAUUCAGAAAGCCUCUCUCUGGGGCCAGGCCUUGCAGAGAAUCCUUCAGAAACUGGACAACCCCACCCAAGGCAGUCAGUGGGGAGGACACAUUUGGUGCCUCAUUGGUCCCUGGAUCUGCCUCACAGUCCUCAAUGUUCCUCCUCGUUCCCUCUACUCUUUCUCCUCUUUGGUUGACCUUGAAGCUCAUUCCUGGUGAAGGCCCCGUGGGAGCAGUGCAAUGACAAGAGGAGCCUGUUUUCAAUAGCACCCUCACGCUCUCCAGGGGUCCAUUGGAGGCGCCUAUGACCUCCUGAUGCUGAGGAGCCUAGAGUGGGCAGCCCUCGGGCCCAGGCUCCACCUGGGUGAGGCCUGUUUUAUUAUCAAUACUCACCACAGUCAUUUGUGGGAGUGUAAUGCUCAUAUUCCCAUUUAAGAGAUGAAUAAACUGAGGCAAGGUGAAGUGACUCAGCUGAGGCCACACCACAGUUUAAUGGGGAAGCCAGGAUAAGAGCUGGCGGCUUCUAUGUCUGAUCUACACUCUGAUGGGAGGUCGUCAGAGAGCCAUGUAAACGGUGAGGAGGUGACAUGCUGGUCCCUUCCAUAAAAGCUGUUUUGCAAAAUUAAAACACACACACAGUAAAGAUCCAGAUUUAUGCAAGUGAGAGUGAGGGGCUGACUAUUUACCAGUCAACAGAUCUCCCCAAAUGGUUCUCUGCUUGGGGUUGAGAUGCUCCUGACCAGCAGGGCUUGGGGAGAGACAUUCUUGCUCCCCCUAGAGCUGGCUGACCCAUACCCAGGGGAUUCUGAGCACCAGGGGCUGGGAGCAGCAUGUACCACGUGUUUCCCAAGAGUUAGUCAUGUUUGCUCCUAAAACUUAUUGUAAUCGAGGAAUCUAAUUAAACAAUACACCAACUGAAGAAACAGUGCAAAAAGAAUGAGUGACUGUUUCUAUGAAAACUUAGAUGAACUACUUUGGAAAGAUUCAAUAAAAAGCAUGCCUAAAUACAUAUACUGGGGCCAGGAGCAGUGAUUCACACUUGUAACCCCAGUGCUUUGGGAGGCUGAGGUGGGAGGGUGGCUUGAGGCUAGGAGUUUGAAACCAGCCUAGGCAACAUAGCAAGACCCUGUCUCUACAAAAAAACAAAAAUUUUUCAACUGGUUGUGGCAGCACCUGCCUAUGGUCCCAGCUGCUCUGGAAGCUGAGGUGAGAGGAUCACUCGAGCCCAGGAGUUCAGGCUGCAGUGAGCCGCAAGUGUGCCACUGCACUCCACCCUGGGCAACAGAGCAAGACCCUGUCUCUAAAAAAAUAAAUAAAAUAUGUACAUCCAGAUACAGUAUUAUGUGUGGGCGAGACACCGGUAAAAGAUGGAAACAAUCAUAAAAGUCAGGCAGGAUUCCACCUAAGAUUGUCUUUAGCUCUCAAUCUACCUUGUUUUAAAAUUUUUUUAUGAGCCAUAAAAGACCUAAGACUAGUCUUUAUUGUACAACUUGAUGAAUUCUGAUCCUGUGGCCAUACAGUUCAAAAUAGAGCAUUCUAGCACUCAGAAAGCUCCCUAGUGCCCUCAUCAGUUGGUGCCUGUCAACCCCAAGGAUGUCAUAGUCAUUUGGACACCCCUGGCACAGUCAUUCCACUUAGAGACUCUGCCAGAAGUCCCAGAUCAUAAUCAGGAGUGAAAUUUACACAAGAAGGGGCCGGAAGCCCUAGUGAGUAGUGAACUCAACUCCAAAAUAACCCUACACUAAAAAUAAAACUGGAACGUACUUUUUAUGUUUGAAAUUUAAAUAAGAUAGAUGUAUUUUUGUUAAAUCGUUCCAACCUGUACAACUUUUCUAUUCAUCAGCCAACUAGCCAGAGAAAGGGGGUUUCUGCUGCUGUCAGAGUAUAAAAAUGAGCUGCAAUUUUCAAAAUUUGACCUCAUCUAACUUUCUCCAGCUAUGCCAUUCCUGGAGCAUCCUCAGUCCAGUGCCUGAUGCGUAAAACAUAAUAAAAAGGUGACCCCACCACACCAAACACUGGGGUGUCUGUAGCAGUGACCGCGUCUCACGGGGAUUUUGUCUGAAUGCCUGUUCCUCCACUCGCCUAAUCCAUGGAGGUCAGGGAACCACGCAC